rnacentral:lncRNA from 1 species
GAUGCUUGGUAUCUUUGCUUUCUCCCCUUCCUUGUGGCCCCACUGCCAAGAAUGGUAGAGAAGAUAUUUUGUCCCGUAAAUAUUCACAUGUGUGGCAGGCAGCAGUCUCCAGGUGACCCCUGAUGACCUCUACACCUAUACAAUGAACGUGAGAAAAUCUGAGAGUACGACGACUCUAGGAUUGCAGCGGGUGCCAUGGGAAAAGGGAAAGCAUCCUGGUGGACUUGACCUAAUCUGGGCAGAGUUUUCUCCGGCAGGUUUCAGAGAUCUGAAGCCAAAAAUGUGUUUGCCAUGGCGUUGCUCGCUUGAAGGCAGGAACUGUGGUUGGCUCUGGGAGUUGAGAGCAUCCUGAACUCCAAGUGAAGUCGGAGCAGAGGAGCCCACUCCGUGCGUGGACUUGGGACCUACAGAUGUGAGAUCAGAAGUUUGUGGUACUGGGGUUGGCACUGUGGCGCAGCAGGUUAAUGCCCUGGCCUACAGUGCUGGCAUCCCAUAUGGGCGCCAGUUCAAGUCCUGGCUGCUCCUCUUCUGACCCAGCUCUCUGCUAUGGCCUGGGAAAGCAGUAGAAGAUGGCCCAAGUCCUUGGACCCCUGCACCCAUGUGGGAGACCCAGAAGAAGCUCCUGGCUCCUGGCUUUGUUCGGCGCAGCUCCGGCUAUUGCAGCCAUCUGGGGAGUGAACCAGUGGAUGGAAGACCUCUCUCUGUCUCUCUCUCUCUCACUGUGUAACUGACUUUCAAAUAAAUAAAAUAAUCCUUUAAAAAUUUUAAAAUUAAAAUAAAAAAAAUUAAAAGAGGUUUGUGGUGCUGACUUUCCUAGGAACAGAAAACAGAUUCCCUGAGUUCUUCAUCAGGAAGUCCAUAGAUUCUUCCCGAUCGAUCGUGGUGCUCUCAGUUUUCACAUGGGCACCCACUUCAUCGUGGGCUCACCGUCGAGCCCACGGUCAGGCCUUGUUGUGGCAGAACUCAGUGCCUGUCUAGUGAAUGAGCAACACCUUAAGGUUCACCUGGGGUGGAGGACAGGGAGGGAUUCAUAAAUAUUUAAAAUUAUCCCAGUUCGACAGAACAACAUUAGCUCACGGCUUAUCUCAUUCAAGGCACUGGUCUGCUGUCACCGAGUUCUUUCGGUGGCUGCGGGGUUUUCAUCAAGCUGGAUUUCUCCUGGACUUCCCUGAAGGUUUCCUUCAUUGGCAGGUACUAACAGGAAAGAACCACGUGAGCCUAUGGUUUUAUUGGUGUGGUCCUGUCGACACUGUGCAGCAUGUGUUCCGUCUUCCCGGCUCCGGGAAGUGGCCAGCAGUCUCAGGAAAGAAGAACCAGGGGACCCUGGAAACACAGGCAAGCCGCCACCACACCACCGCGCCACCACACCGCCACUGCACGGUGCUGCAAAAUGUCUGUGAGUCAAACCCGCACUGGACCUUCCUCCUUCACAUACGUCAGUCACCUGGGGAGCCUGCUUUUUAAAAAGUCAGAUUUCCAGUCCCUACUCCAGGAAAUUCUAGUUCAGCAAAGCUGGGCCGGGGGCCUCAGCCUUUAUUUUUAGGAAGCAUCCCCCGUUCCCGACGUGGCCCUUCUUUCAGAAUCACUGGCCUAGAUUCUCAAGCUGGAGUCAGUGACUUUGCCGGAGGUUUCAAAUGUUUCCCAGGAAAAAGGCUUUUCAGGGCCUGGGAGAGCUGUUGCAGCAGAGGCACAGAAAAUGAACAGAGAGGAGCCAGCUGGCAGGGAAAUGCGGGAUGGGGGGUGAUUCUGGACAGAGAAGCAGGGGGCUGGGACCACUGGUGACAGCAGCUUCCUUCCUGCCUGCCUUGUUCGCAAGCCUCGGGGUGAUGCACACAAUGUGAAGGCCGUGUGGGCUUCCCUGGGAGUUGGAAUGGCUCGUGUCUUAGCAGAAGGCUCUGGAACCUGACCGUGCUUAUCAACCACGCAAAGGCAGGACCUGUGACGGAAUGCACUAGCAGCCAAGCUGGUACAGCCGUCCCACAAAGGAGGGGGUGGCAGCAAGGCCAGCCAGAAAGUCAUGGGAGAGCCCUGCCUGAGCAUAAUGAGCCGGGGUGAGGCUGGGCCUGGCAGCCUCUCUGCUGGGCAUUUAUUUGUGAGGCCUGUUGGCAAAACUUGGCAUGCUUGGGCUGGGAGCCUGGCCAGGCUGGCCUGUUGCAGUAGGUUGGAAGCUGAAGAGCAAUCUGGCCAAGGCUAGGGCAACUUGCCUUUGGACUUGGGCCAUUUUUUCUUCUUCUUCUUCUUUUUUUUUUUUUUUUUCUGUAACCACACUAGGCCUUGGUUUCAAGGAGUUGUAUUAGAUGGGAGUGCCCUGGGCCCUGCCAAGCCUUCUUUUGUGACUGAAUGAAAUAAGCGAGGAGACAAAGUCCUUGGUAAACUGGAGGCUACUCCUUAGGUGCACGUUGUCGGUCCCUGCUGUGAUCUUGGCUCCCCUGGCUGUUUCGCAGGUCCACACACUACUUGGGACACACAAGUUGCAUAGCCAUGAGUGGAGCGCUCUGGGGGUAGGCAGCAGAGUGUGUGGUGCCGUGUGUGUGAGGCUGUGUGUGUUUCUAACCUAAUUCUACUCGUCAGGAGCUGCCAAGAGGAAGGAGAAAGGAUUGUUUUGCCAUGAAGAGAGCUUGAGUUACACAACAAAAUCUCUUUUUAAUGCAAUUGUGGGGUUCUGUUUCCAGGAAUAUGGGUCCCUGCCCAGGCUGUGUGAGUCCUGCUCCAGUGUUCUCGCCAUCCUCACCCCUCAGCCCACAGCCUCGCCCAGACAAACAUCCGAUGGCCUUCAACCGGCCUUCUCUUGUCCCCUUUGUGAUUUUUAUUCCUGUGGGUCUCACACAGGUGCCUUGUUCAUAUCCCUUCUAUUGGAACUUCCAACCCUGACGGAAGGUGUCGCUCCCCGUCUUCGUGGAGGAACGACACAGGACCCUGCGCUGUUCUUUUGUCUGCUCGGCCCUCCCCGGGUUUGCUGCUGGUUCUUCCCGGGUUGGCUGCCGUCCCUUCCACCUCCGUGGAAGGGCGGUUCCCCCUGCCACUUUCCCCACUUCCGCGGGGGAGCGGCACACCGCCGGCCAGCUCUCUCGGGGGCUGCACAGGUGUUCCUCAGGUGUUCCUGGUGCAUGUUGUCUCUCUCCUCCUUUAUAGUCCUCUUCCACCAAUCCCAACUCUGCUACCCACACGCCGAGUACGCUGCUCUCCUCCAAUCAGGAGCAGGUCCUACAGUUUAUUGGUUGAACUGGAGGCAGCUGUGUAGAAGCUGUUACUCCCUUCUCAGCGCCAUAUUGUGAGAGAGCAGAUGCAUAGAAUAAGUCUUAAUUCCAGUAACUUAGUCUAGUCCGAGUUGCUCCCAGUUGCUCCCCACAGGAAGGCUGUCGUUGACCAGGAAGCUGUUCAGGCCCUUGCUCCCGUGUCUCUGCUGGGCCCUGUUUGCCCUAUGCAUGAUCGCAGGUGCAACUCUAAGGGAGGUAAGCCCUCCCUAAACUGAGCCCAGUGGUGUUCUUGUCUCUUGACUGUUUCCUCAGGCUACUGUCUCUGUUGCUCAUUGCUAUCAGGAAGAAAAAACAACACCUCCCCAGAAAGAUGUGUUGGAGUAAGCUUGACGUCAAGGGAGGUGGCCAUGAGCAUUCUGGGGAGGGAACGUAGAGGCAAUGCUGUGCACACCCUGUGAGGACCAGAGAGCAGAGGGGGGCAGAGCCUAACACGGGAUCAAGGAAAUGACAGGCACUUGCACCUCUCAGAAGAGCAGCUUGAUGCUGCAUGGGUUUGUACUUUUUUUUUUUUUUUUGACAGGCAGAGUGGACAGUGAGAGAGAGAGACAGAGAGAGAAGGUCUUCCUUUGCCAUUGGUUCACCCUCCAAUGGCCGCCGCGGCCAGCACACCGCCCUGAUCCGAUGGCAGGAGCCAGGUAUUUAUCCUGGUCUCCCAUGGGGUGCAGAGAGCUGGCCUGGAAGAGGGGCAACCGGGACAGAAUCCGGCGCCCCGACCGGGACUAGAACCUGGUGUGCCGGCGCCGCAAGGCGGAGGAUUAGCCUAGUGAGCCGCGGUGCCGGCCAGGGUUUGUACUUUCAUUUAGGCUGCGUGUUAGUCAGCUCUUCAUCGCCGCAACUAAAAACCCAAGACAAGGGGGCUGGCGCUGUGGCUCACUUGGUUAAUCCUCCGUCUGCAGCACCAGCAUCCCAUAUGGGCACCGGGUUCUAGUCCCGGUUGCUCCUCUUCCAGUCCAGCUCUCUGCUGUGGCCCGGGAGGGCAGUGGAAGAUGGCCCAAGUGUUUGGGCCCCUGCACCUGCAAGGGAGACCAGGAGGAAGCACCUGGCUCCUGGCUUCGGAUUGGCGCAGCGCACUGGCUGUAGCAGCCAUUUGGGGGGUGAACCAACAGAAGGAAGACCUUUCUCUCUGUCUCUCUCUCUCACUGUCUAACUCAUCUGUCAAAAUAAAUAAAUUAAUUAAUAGACCCA